AUUCUACUCCCUCCGUUGCACAAUACAUGCCUUCUAUUUGUCAAUAUAUAUGUAUCUAGACAUGUCUUAGUAUGUAGGUACGUCCAUUUUUGGACAAAUGGAAGUCAAGUAUUUUGGAACGGAGGGAGUACACA
rfam:Triticum urartu cultivar G1812 contig535731, whole genome shotgun sequence.